UAGUGGCGAACGGGUGAGUAACACGUGGGCAAUCUGCCCUUCACUCUGGGACAAGCCCUGGAAACGGGGUCUAAUACCGGAUAUGAGCCUGGGAGGCAUCUCCCGGGUUGUAAAGCUCCGGCGGUGAAGGAUGAGCCCGCGGCCUAUCAGCUUGUUGGUGAGGUAAUGGCUCACCAAGGCGACGACGGGUAGCCGGCCUGAGAGGGCGACCGGCCACACUGGGACUGAGACACGGCCCAGACUCCUACGGGAGGCAGCAGUGGGGAAUAUUGCACAAUGGGCGAAAGCCUGAUGCAGCGACGCCGCGUGAGGGAUGACGGCCUUCGGGUUGUAAACCUCUUUCAGCAGGGAAGAAGCGAGAGUGACGGUACCUGCAGAAGAAGCGCCGGCUAACUACGUGCCAGCAGCCGCGGUAAUACGUAGGGCGCAAGCGUUGUCCGGAUUUAUUGGGCGUAAAGAGCUCGUAGGCGGCUNGUCACGUCGAUUGUGAAAGCCCGAGGCUUAACCUCGGGUCUGCAGUCGAUACGGGCUAGCUAGAGUGUGGUAGGGGGAGAUCGGAAUUCCU
rnacentral:rRNA from 1 species